CCCAACACAUUCACCUACCACUACAUCCACUCAUUACCACCACCCACUACAUCCUCUCCCUAGCCUAUAAAUACAUCCAUCCACCCUUCACCAUAAGAGACAUAUAUCAAUCCAAAACACACAUCAUCUACACAAUUCUCCACUCUUUGCCACAUUCAAGACAUCCUUCAUCCAAACACAUCCAUUCAUCUUCACAUCCAUUCCUCCAUACAAACAAACCUUCAAACAGUCACCAACACCUUGUGCCGUAGCAAAUGAAGGGAAGGAAAGUGCUUGGACGUGCUUGCUGUCCAACUUGGAUCGUUGGAGCGUUUAGGUGU
rnacentral:lncRNA from 1 species